rnacentral:rRNA from 1 species
CAGUCGCCGCGGUAAUACAGAGGGUGCAAGCGUUAAUCGGAAUUACUGGGCGUAAAGCGCGCGUAGGUGGUUUGUUAAGUUGGAUGUGAAAUCCCCGGGCUCAACCUGGGAACUGCAUCCAAAACUGGCAAGCUAGAGUAUGGUAGAGGGUGGUGGAAUUUCCUGUGUAGCGGUGAAAUGCGUAGAUAUAGGAAGGAACACCAGUGGCGAAGGCGACCACCUGGACUGAUACUGACACUGAGGUGAGAAAGCGUGGGGAGCAAACAGGAUUAGAGACCCGCGUAGUCCCUGUCUCUUAUAC